UACGUAGGGUGCGAGCGUUGUCCGGAAUUAUUGGGCGUAAAGAGCUCGUAGGCGGUCUGUCGCGUCGAUCGUGAAAACUUGGGGCUUAACCCUGAGCUUGCGGUCGAUACGGGCAUGACUGGAGUUCGGCAGGGGAGACUGGAAUUCCUGGUGUAGCGGUGAAAUGCGCAGAUAUCAGGAGGAACACCAAUGGCGAAGGCAGCUCGCUGGAACGGUACUGACGCUGAGGCGCGAAAGCGUGGGGAGCGAACAGGAUUAGAUACC
rnacentral:rRNA from 1 species